rnacentral:rRNA from 1 species
AUUGAACGCUGGCGGCAGGCUUAACACAUGCAAGUCGAGCGGAGCGAGGGUGCUUGCACCUUAGCUUAGCGGCGGACGGGUGAGUAAUGCUUAGGAAUCUGCCUAUUAGUGGGGGACAACAUUCCGAAAGGAAUGCUAAUACCGCAUACGCCCUACGGGGGAAAGCAGGGGAUCUUCGGACCUUGCGCUAAUAGAUGAGCCUAAGUCGGAUUAGCUAGUUGGUGGGGUAAAGGCCUACCAAGGCGACGAUCUGUAGCGGGUCUGAGAGGAUGAUCCGCCACACUGGGACUGAGACACGGCCCAGACUCCUACGGGAGGCAGCAGUGGGGAAUAUUGGACAAUGGGCGGAAGCCUGAUCCAGCCAUGCCGCGUGUGUGAAGAAGGCCUUUUGGUUGUAAAGCACUUUAAGCGAGGAGGAGGCUCUUAAGGUUAAUACCCUUGAUGAGUGGACGUUACUCGCAGAAUAAGCACCGGCUAACUCUGUGCCAGCCGCCGCGGUAAGAC